UUUCUCCAAGUCUACCUCCCGCAUCAUAGUUGAAGCAGUGCAAACUCUGAGGGCGGCGAACGGUACGUAUGCACGGCACAGGCGAUUGGGAUAAAAGAUUUGGUGGACAACUACUUGAGGAUUGCAUAUCCUAACUACAAUUAUCCCGACAACCUUACCCACACAGAGGAGGAAGAAGAAAAACUGAAUUCCGAUAAAUUGCAGAGAUUGGGUUGGAAUUAACGGCCACUGGAGGACACUCUUAUUGAUUCCAUUGAAAGCUAGGGGAAGGCUGGAGUCUUGAAGUAGCCAAAUAAAAAUCCCUUCUAUAACUCCGGUAGGUCUUCUUGCUGACUUGCUCGGGCGGCUGCUAGAGGGCUUCAUGAAGUUCCCAUGUCUUGGCAAGAAUUGGACCGCUGGAGUGUUUUUCUUGGCCCAAAAGGUGGACUCUUACCUUUUUGUUGGCAAUAGAUUGGAUGUCUUCAAUUUGGCACGUCAAUAGAAUGCCAAGUACUGACGCACUUGUGCAUGCCUUCAACUUGGCACGUCCUAACAUUUCACAUGAAAAUCCCUCUUCAUUCGUUCGGAAGAUUAGAGUGCUAGAUCAGAAAUUGAGAAGUCAAUCUUCUUGUACUGAUCAGUCUCCUUGUUGAGACACCAACUGCAAAAGUCUGCAAUAAAGAUGAUGGCGGCACCGGCGAAGGAGGAGAAGGAAAGAGUAUGUGUAACUGGGGCUGGAGGAUUUGUGGGCUCUUGGAUUGUCAAGCUUCUUCUCUCUAGCGAUUAUCUUGUCCACGGAACCGUCCGAAACCCCCAGGGGAUAGCAAGUAUGCUCACUUGAGCAAGCUUGAGAAAGCAUCAGAGAAUCUGAAACUGUUCAAGGCAGAUUUGCUGGACUACAAUUCACUAUGUUCGGCAGUUGCAGGAUGCAGCGGAAUUUUCCAUGUUGCCAGCCCUGUAAUUCCUAGUGCUAGUGUAACAAAUCCUCAGGCAAGAGUACCUGAUUCACUGAUACAAGAGUGAUCAACUAAAAACAGAAUAGAAGGAACUAUCCCAUGUGAAGUGAUAAAGGACUAGCUAGGACUCCAUAAUAGAAUUAACAAAUUGUUAUAUACGUCAAUCACAUUUCACAAUAUAUCAUUGCGCGGUGCAAUUGCAGGUAGAGUUGAUUGAACCAGCUGUAAAGGGAACGCUGAAUGUCCUGAGUGCUUGCCUAGAAGCCAAAGUGAAACGAGUUGUUGUUGUGUCCUCUAUAUCCGCUGUUUUUGUGAGCCCGGACUGGCCUAAGGGUCAAGUCAAGGACGAGACUUGUUGGUCUGCUCCCGAAUAUAUGAAAGCAACCAAGGCGGGUUUGAGUCAAUUGGAUACAAUUAUUGGACGGUGGUGGAUGUUCGUGAUGUAGCUGAAGCAGUGCUUCAUGUAAACAAGAAAUCUGAGGCUGGUGAACGAUACAUAUGCACAGCAGAUGCUAUUUGAAUAAAGGAUUUGGUGGACAACUACGUGAGGGUUGCGUAUCCUAACUACAAUUAUCCCCACAACCUUAGCCACACAGACGAA